UACGUAGGUGACAAGCGUUGUCCGGAUUUACUGGGCGUAAAGAGCGCGCAGGCGGUCGAUCAAGUCGAGUGUGAAAGCCCCCGGCUCAACUGGGGAGGGUCAUUCGAUACUGAUCGACUCGAAGGCAGGAGAGGGUAGUGGAAUUCCCGGUGUAGUGGUGAAAUGCGUAGAUAUCGGGAGGAACACCGGUGGCGAAGGCGGUUCUCUGGGCAUGUCCUGACGCUGAGGAGCGAAAGUGUGGGGAGCGAACAGG
rnacentral:rRNA from 1 species